rnacentral:lncRNA from 1 species
UGCCGUCCACAUAGUAGGCCUACGCGGUAGGCCUACGUGCAUGGGCCUGCAAGUAGUAGGCAUGCGCAUCGUGCCCUGCGCACUGUAGGUCCUGCGUGCGGGAGGCUAGGCCAGUGCGCUUGCAAGCUAAGCCUGCAGCACGCAGCCAACUGGGGCAGAAUACUGCUGCCUUAGGCAAGCGUAUCGCCCCCUUGGGUUUCGUGCACCUCCGGUUAGGCGAAGAGCCACCGCUGUCUUGGGCGAUGUGUCAUCUUCGCUUGGGUGAUGUGCUGUCGUCGUUUGGGUGGCGUGCUUCUAUUUUUUUUCCACUGUUACAUCGCAUCAUUCGUCCAUCGAUCAUAUCAGUCAGUCAUCACAUCACUUCUUUUUCCAUUGAUUUCUCUCUCCUCACCAGAUUUUGUCACUUUGCGUAAAUCCGAUGGUCCCCAUUUUUUAUAAAUUGGGACCUCUCUUCACCAUUUCUUCAUC